rnacentral:rRNA from 1 species
UAAAAGAAUCGAUGGCAAUAUAGUUCUAACAUCAAAAAGUAUUUCAAAGGGGUUAUUAAGGAUAACUAGCAAAUUUAUAAAAAAGGAGGUAAUAAACCAAAAGCCACAAGAUUAAUUUAUCAAUCCGAUUAUGGAUAGGUAAUUUAAUAUCAAUAAUUCUGGCGAUCCUAAGGGAAACCUUUAUUAUAAAAACUUCCCGAAGUAAAUCAUUUUAGUAGGGAAAGGAAAGGAAAUCAACCGAGACUCCGAAAGUAACGGCGAGUGAAAUCGGAAUAGCCUAUAUAAUUAAGCUUCAAUUGAAACUAUACCAAAGAAGGUAACUAUAAGUCCUGUAGAUUGUUGGAUAAUUAUCAAAUCUCUAUAGAAAAUAUAGACGACUAAAAAGUACGAUGAGAGAAAACUUGUCGGAAAAUAGGGGAACCAUCCUCUAAGGCUAAGUAUUAUAAAUUUCGCUAUAGUGAAAAGUACUUCAAAGGAAAAGUUGAAAAGAAUGUAAUAAUAGACAUAGUGAAAUAGUCUUGAAUUAGUAACUCUAUAAGCAGUCCAAAUUUAUACAACUAUAAAUAAGGGCGUACCUUUUGUAUAAUGGGUGAAUUGCUUGCCCAGAAAAACUGUGAAGUUUUUUGUAACACUGACUCAUCUGCUGUUUGUUUAGAUCUUCUGUUCACCUUCCGGUGAUGAAAUAAAAAAGAGAAAUAAAAGAGCCAGCGGGGUAUGGUUUUUUUUUACCUGUUCAUCUGUUAAAAAUAGAAUCAUGCUAACGGUUAAUCCUAAGGAUAUAAAAAUCUAAGGAAAUCCCGUGGGAAGCUUAUAAAUCGUAGGAAUUAUUAGUGUAAUUAAAUUACACUCUUUUUAUUUGCCCUGUAACGACUUGAUGGCAAACCAUCAGACUGAAUUUACAAUUUGGUAACACGUCAGCACUCAAUGAUUCCAAAAAUUAUGGGAAUAACUUUAUUAUAUUAGGGGUUUGCACACUCGUUGACUAAAAUGAAGUACAGGGUGCUUUGCAUCCUAUAGGGUGCCGCUUCUUUGCACUAGUGCAGAGCGUGCAUGCAGAUCGAGAAUAUAAUUCACCUAAGAUUUAAUUGAGUUGAAGGUAUAGUCUAAUCCUUUAUGAAAAUAUAGGUAUCAAUGCAGCAAGUUAAUAGGAGUAGCAAGGUUAAAAGCCUUAGCGAAAGCGACUGCACUAACUAGCUAAAGUAUUUUGUUUAUUUUAUUUACUAAAAUAAGUUAUAAAUAGAAUAAUCCUUUAUUGUUAAGUUUAGUACAAGCAAUAAAGUCAAUUAUUUUCUAGGUAAUAGUGGCGGAUAAGUUACUUCUAUUAGACCCGAAGCAAGGUGAUCUUCCCAAGACCAGAUGUAUAAUGGAUCGAACGGGUGAAUGUUGCAAAAUUCUCCGAAGAGUUUUGGGAAGCGGUAGUAAAAUUAAUUGCCGCAUUGAAAAGUGAUUUUCAAUAAAAAACUAGCUCAUAACGGUGGAAACCUUUUAUCUUUAAGGUUAAUAGGAAAUACCGUGGGAAGUUGUAUCAGGCCCUUGGAUUAAUAAGAAUCCAGCCACAGUAACAAUACUAAAUUAGUAUAAUUCAUAUAAUUAAUAUUACAGAUAAAGUUCUUAUAGAGACGCUUCGCUUCUUAAUAGAUUAUAUGGAUAGUUGAUAUUAACCCCGUAACGACUUUAAUUGAAAAAUUAAGGCUUUAAAAAUAAAGCAAAACGCUAGCACUCUUAGUUACACUGGAUUAUGGUUUGAAUGUAUUUCCGCUCCUUUGCUGCCGCAUCGCGUCAACUAAAACCUAAGAUCCAUUAGAGUUGAAAGUAUAGUCUGAACUAUUUCGUAAGAAAUAGAUUAACAAAAUUGGAAAUGCCAAUCUGACCUCAAACACGGGGCCUUUAUUAAACGCUUUUCUUGUUUAAAGUUAAGUAAAAUAAAGCGAAUCUGGUUAUAUGCUGGAAAAUUCUUUUAAACUGUAAUACAAAUCAAGUCAAAAUUUAUAGUUGUCAUUUUAAUGAGUUUAUGAAUUAUAAAGCUAUAAAACUAUUUAUAAUCUCAUGAAAAUAAGAAUAAUCAGCAAGUAAAUAUUUUAAUACUUCAACGACUAAUACACCAGAAACUUAAAGUUGUGAUAGAGUCUUCAAUACAAAAUAAAGUAGCCCCAUAAAAACAAAUGUGCUGUCCUUGUUGUCCAAUAAAACAAAUGUGCUGCCCUUUGGCUUGCGCUCCGCAUCCUAAAAUAAAGGUGGUUGUUUUUGCUCCGCAUCCGAGAAAGGAACGGCACUUAAGAAAUUAAUUAAUAGUCCCCAAAAGUCUCUCCCCCGUCUUAUGUUGGGUUGCAAGGAUCCUUGGCCUGCUAGUUAAAUUUCUUAUUAAUUUACUAUCCCUUUUUAAUUGAUGAGAGUCACUAGAAAGCGAAUUAGGUUCCGCUUAGUUAAUAAUAACUCUAGUCACUAGAAGGGCUAGCCCCCCAACUCUAGUUAAAAUAGUGAAACAGUUAAUUAUAGUAAUUUAGGUAUAACUAAAAUAACAAAUAUAUUUAAGCUACAAACACAAUGACAAAUAUGAACCUAAAAUUAAAUAAAUUAAGCCUUACUUCCGCUGUAAACAAAUUAGAUAGCUGCAGAGAAAUUGUAAUUACACCUACUACUAGAUCUAAAUUAGCUUGGUUAGUAACGGGACUAGUUCAAUCUGAUGGAUGUUUUGGAAUGCGAGUUUUUAAGUAUAAAAAAAGUAUUGGAAUAAGUUUUAAAUUAACAAUAGAGAUGACUAUGACUUCUUUACCUUUGUUAAAACAAGUACAAGCAUACUUUGGUUGUGGUUCUAUUUAUUUUAAUAAAAAACGAAAUACUUGUAUUUAUUCUAUUUCAGCUAAAUCCGAACUAUGGCAUAUAGUGGUUCCUCACUUUUUAAAUUACCCUCUUUUUGGUUCUAAAUAUGAAUCUUUUGUAAAAUUUUUAAAAGCGUUUACAUUGUUUUAUCCAAUUCAAGGAAAGAAUCAAGAUAAGCUUACAUUAGCUAAAGUUCUUUUUUUAGGAUGGAAUAUCAAUGAAUAUAGUAGUGUAAGAGAAGAGGAAGAUAUAUUUAUUCAUUUGAACAAAUUAUUACCUUCAUUACAACUUAAUUUUGAAUCUUCAAUUAGUUUUGAAAACAAAAUGUUAAUAGUGGGAGAAAAGUUAGGUAUUGAAAGUAGUAACAAUAUAUUAAUGAAUUCUUUAAAAUAUUUAGAUCAAUAUAGAUUAGUAACUAUUAAUCCUUAUUUUAUAGUUGGAGUAAUAGAAGGCGAUGGAUCAUUUUAUGUUGGUUUAAGAGGAAAUGGUAAAAUACGUUUUGGUUUUAAUAUUACAACUAGUAUUGAUGAUUUGAUGCUUCUUUUUAACAUAAAAUUAGCUUUAUGCUGCGGUGUUGUAAAAGCUAAAGCAAAAAGUUGGUGCAGAUACGAGUCAGAAGGAAAUAAGGAUUUAAGAAAUACUCUUAUGUUAGUUGUAAAAUUGAGUCCAUUUGGAGAUAAACUUAUAGGAUCUAAGUCUACUAAUUAUGAAAUUUUUAGAGAAGUAAUGGGUAUUUUCGCUAAAAAAGGUCAUAUGGAAAAAGAAGGUUUACGACGUAUAGCUCAAUUGGUUUAUAGUGGUGCAACCCUUAAAAACCGAAAACUAACUUUAGAGGAAUACUUAAAAAAACAUAAUCUACUUAUCUAAAGUUAAGCACAAGACAUCCCUUUAUUUUUUAUAAUUCAAAUUUUAAAUUCACUCCAAAGGACAAAUGUCCAAAUAGCUAAUAGAUAGUUAAGGUUAUAUUCAAAUUUUUUUAGCCAGCGAUUUAUUGUAGCAGCCAUCCCCCUACCCCCAUCACCAUUUCUUUGUUUUCGAAGAAAGGGGGGGUUCGGGGAAUAAAAUUUCAAUUUCUUUUUUAUUAUGUAUAUAUUAAUACCUCCCCACCUUUUUUUUAAUUUGUCACAUUUGGGUUGGCCACCAUAACCCCCUCCUAGGACUUUUAAAAAGUAGCUGUCGCACGUGUUAUUAGCACGGAAGCCUUCCAAUAAAGACGGGAGGGGGGAGUGGAUUUGUUUUUAUAAGGGUUAUCUUAUAUUGUACAUGAGUGUGCUAGCUGGUUUUCUACGAAACAUAUCUUAGUAUGACAUCUAUACAAAAUUUAUGGUGGUACAGCAAUUAAUUCCCAACUGGUAAUAGUAAUUAAUUUUGCUAUUACACCGGUUUAGGUUGAGGGGAACUAGAAAAUCUUACCAAUGGAAGAUAAACUCGAAAUGACAUAAAUUGAUGGUAGAUAUUCAGACUGCUCAUGAAAAAGUUGAGUAGUCAAGACGGAAACAGCCGAGAACACGCAAUCAAGGUCCCAAAUGAUUAUUCAGUGAAAUUAAGGAAAUAACAUAUCGAAUUCAGCUAGCACAGUGAGCUUGGAGGUAGCUAUUCUGAUAAUAAACGUAAUGUAACAACGUAGCAGCCCUUAGAAUGUUGUACCAAAAAUUUAACGGGUCUAAAUAAUCAACCGAUAUCGUGUUUAUUUUGAAUAAAAGGCAUAAUACAACUUUUUAUUCAUAAUAUAGGUAGUAGAACAUUCAGUAUACUUAAUAUAAAACAGUGUUUCAUUGUUUUUAGGUAACUGAAGAGAUAAUGCUGACAUGAGUAACGUAAAAAGAAGUUAUAAUACUUCUCGCCGAAUACGAAAGGGUUAUAAGGAAAGGUUAAACCACCUUAUGUUAAUGCGGCCUCUAAGGAUAGAAGCUAAGGCUUCAACUGAUGAGUAGAUAACUGAAAGUCUUGCAUCAAGCCCGUACUAAAAAUAUUUGAAUUUCAAUUUAAGUGCGGAGCCGAAUAAGAACGGAGGGAGCUGUACAGCACCGUAGGGUCUUUCACCUUUACGAAACUCCUUCGAGUGGAACAGGAAAAUUAAGUUAUAUCUAUAUGCUACCGUACCCUAAACCGACACAGGUUCGUAGGUAGAGAAUACUAAGGCGUAGAGCUAAAAGUUGUUAAGGAACUCGGCAAAUUCUCCUCCUAAGUUAGACGAAAAGAGGAACCCUAUUUAAUUUCAAUUAUAAAUUAUAAAUCUAUAAUUGGUUUUUUCACGUUCACUGUACGACGAAAUAGGGUGGCAGCAAAUCGGAGGCCCCGACUGUUUCCUGACUCAGUAUUUUGGGAAAUACUAUUUUGGGAUAAACUAUCAAACUACGGGAACCUCCUAAAGCUUUUGAUACCAAGCUAUAUUUGAAAAAAUAUAAGUGGCUGAACUAAUCACUCAGGUAUGGUAACAAGUCAAAAGAUAGAUGAAAAAAAAAUGGAAUAUCGCGUAUCUAAAUCAAUUUUAUUUUUAAUAAAAAUAGUCUUUUAUUUAACUAUUAUUUUUAUUUGAAUUUAUUUUUUAGUGGGAGCUAAAAUAGUACUAUUAUCUGCAGCAAUUAUUCCUGCUGUGGUGUAUGGUAAUGCCGACCUAGAAAAAUCUAAUAUUACUAUAGGAAAUAAAAAAAAAGCGGGAGUUUAUAGAUGAGUCAACAAAAAUAACGGAAAAUGUUAUGUUGGUAGUUCUAUUAACUUGUCUAAUAGAUUUUAUUUUUAUUUCAAUUUAAAAGCUAUGCUACUUACUUCGAAAAAUUCUCUUAUUGCUAGAGCUUUAUUAAAAUACGGUUAUUCUAAUUUUCAAUUAGAAAUUCUUGAAUACUGUGACCCUUCUAAAUGUAUAGAAAGAGAACAAUAUUAUAUAGAUUUAUUAAAACCUGAAUAUAAUAUUUUAAAAUUAGCUGGAUCUAGAUUAGGUUCUAAACAAUCUGUAGAAGCACGAGAUAAAAUUAGUCUAAGUUUAAUAGGUAAUAAAAGAUCGGUAGGAGGUAAAAGAAGUGGUAAUCCAUGUAUAGUUUUAGAUGUAGAAACUGGUGUAAAAACUAGAUACGAAAAAAUAAAUCUUGCAGCCAAAGCUUUAGGUUCUAGUCCAAAAGCACUUAGAAAAUACCUAAAAAGAAAUAGUGGAAAACCAUUUAAAGGAAGAUAUUUCGUGACUAAAUUAAAGCCAGAUAUUUCCUAAUUUAACUUAAAAUAAAAAUAAUUUAAACAAAUAAAAAGAAAAUCCGGUAGGCUUCUGUUGUACAACUGUGGCUUAUUUAUUUUUAAAAUAAAUUAUACCUAAGGAUUUAAUUGUAAAAGAGCAACGAGUAGACGGUAGUUAAUUAUUGAAAAAUAAUUUAAGGUGUACUCUAAUGGGUUUCGAAAGAAAUUAUCCUGUCAAAAUCCCUUCUAAACAAAAUAAUAAAGUAAUCAAAAUAUUUAUUUAGUAAUAACCUAUAACCAAAUUUACGUAAUUAUUUGUUAUUUUUAUUAUUCUGCAUGAUAAAUUUGAUGAUCGUGAAAAACAUAAUUCAGAGCAAUGAUUAAUAUAAUAGUAUUCUGAAUGAAAUUUGCCCAAUGCCAUUAAUAUAAGAGAGGUAAUGAACAGUUACUAAUCGAAAAUCUGGUUAAUAGCGGUCUUAUUAUUGAGGAUCCAAAGGUAGCAAAAUCAAUUGGCCAUUAAAUGUGGUUGAACUAUAUAACCAAUAUAACGACCUUCAGUUGGGCCUUUAGGGGCUCAGGAGAGGGUUGAUUCUAAAUAAAAUAGAGUAAUCCAAUUUUCAAAAACAAAUACGUGUUUCAACAAUAGUGUUCCAAAAUCUAAAGUAAAAAAUUCUGUACUAUUAAGGUUACUUUGUUUAUUUCAAAAUUUCUGGUUUACUUAGUAGAUUCUAUGUUAAUGAGUUUGGGUAAAAUCUGAUAAUACGUAUCACGAUGCUGAGGUAUGUUCAAAGCGUCCAGGUUUUAUUAAAUCUAGUUUAACUUGGCCCGUACGGGUAAAAUUAAUUUAGAAUGAAAUCCAUACUAGAGUGGAUUAAAGCGUACCUCAUUAGACACUAUUUAAAAAUGAUUUAAUAAAUAAAGAUGAUAAACAAAUUAUACCUUAAUUUAGAUAAAGCAAGAUUAGAAUUAAAACCUCAUAUAAAAAACCAAGCCGGAAUUUACCAAUUGGUGAAUUUAAAAAAUGGUAAAACUUACGUAGGUUCUUCAAACAAUUUGUAUAGAAGAUUAACUGAUUAUUUAAAUCCAUCAGGGAUCGCUAAAAGCCUUAGUAGAGGACAUAGUCAUAUACUGAGAGCCUUAUUAAUUGAGGGUUCUGAUAAUUUUGGAAUUCAAAUUUUAGAGUUAAUUGAUUUAGAUCCAAAAUUAAGUAAUCUCGAAAAAAGAAAUUUCAUUUUUAAGAGAGAACAAUUUCAUAUUGAUCAAAUUCAACCUGAAUAUAAUAUUAUCAAAUUCAUAGGAGACGCAUUGGGCCGAGAUUAUCCUGCGGAGACAAGAGCCCGAAUGAGAAUUAACAAUGCAGCUAGUAAACCAAUUUUUGCUUACAAUAGCGAUGGUAGUUUUAAUAAAUUGUUUUUUUCUAUGAUUCAAGCAGGUAAUGAAUUAAGCAUAAAUCGACGAGCAAUAGCAACUAGACUUCAAAAAUCUAAUCCUGUUCAUUUAUGAAAUAGCACAAACACGAAAAGUUACAUUUUAAGUCCAACUCAGCUAACUCAGCAAGAGUUAGAUGAGUUUAUUUUAUCUGCUAAAGGCUUACCAAUAGCCUCAAGUCAAAAAACAAAAGGGCCUAAUUUACAAAUACAAAUAUAUGCCUAUAAAUUAGAUGGAAAAUUUUAUGGUGUUUAUGACAGUUUAGCUCAAGCAGGAAGAGUAUUUAAUGUAAAUCCAGCCACAAUUAAAAAAUAUGCAAAAUCAAAUAAACCAUUUAAAAACCUAAAAUUAAGUUUUACACCAAUCCGAUUGGACUUAGAGGACACUGCUUUUUUACCGGAAAGGCAUAGUCAAAAACAUCUUUAAUUAUGGAGCAGUUUAUUUUAGUCAAAAUAGAUUAGAAUAUAAUUAAAAAGUAUUAUUGGUUAUCAGGCCUCAUUUAUAAAACUUCACUAUAUUCUGAAAAAUUUAACAACCCAUAAUUUUUUUAUUACUAAUAUCGCCUAGAAAGAAAUUAGUCAAAAUAUAAAACAAAAGCGAAUUAAUCAGAAGAUAAUAUAAACUUUCUUUUUUUGGUUAACAAAACAAAGACAGAAGAAAUAUCUCAGAGACUACACGUGAAAAACAGCCUUCCUUUGUUUUGCAUCAUAAGUAUAAUAAAAACAGAACGGACGGCAGUUAAUUAUAUAGUCCAAACGGUUUUAAAUAUGGUAUUAUUACUAUUAAUUUAAGAUCGUUUUGCUGGAAUGAGUAGUGUAACGAGGGCCUCACUGUCUCUACAACUUGCUCAGUGAAAUUGAAUUGUGAGUGAAGAUGCUCACUAUCUCCAGGUCAACGUCGGCCUUGUUUAAAUAUAAGAAAUUUCUACAAUCAAUGAAAAUCUUUAUAUUUAAUACUAAUCACUAAAUGCUUGAAGUCUUUUUACUAAUAAUCCAAACUUUUGGUAAAAUUUAUUAGCCUAUUGACUCGGUUCCGCUGUACUUGACAAGAAAUUCCCGUACGGGAGCGUACGCGGUUGUAUUCAUAAAAUAACAAUAAACUAAGGCAGUAGAAAAAAGUAAUAAGCAGCAGGCUGAAAAAGUCCGCUCAACGACUACACGUGAUAUAAAAAGAUAUAGUCUUAAUUCUUAUUUACAAGUUGGUCUUUCCUAAGAAUAUUAAUAAUCUCUCCUUCAAUAAACCGAAGGAUCUUGAUCUUUAAAUAAGGAGGAUAAGUGUGAAUAUGAAUCGGAGACGGGAAGACCCUAACUAUAAUUUUGCAUUUUUAUUAGAGGACAUCUUAUGAUUCUCAGUACUAUCUCUUAGUAUUUUCUAAGUAUAGUUUAGGUUAACUUAGCUUGCCAAUUGAUGGCGCGUUAUUAUUAUAACGUUUCAUUUUCAGUUAAAUUUUUUGUAAAAAUAUGUAGAUCCUAAAUUUUUUGUAAAAGAAUGUAGAUCCUAAAUUAUUCAGUGGAUUUAAAACACCAGCAAAAUAAUCAAGAUUUAGUAAUAGACUAUCUCCUAUUGGUUAUUUUGUUUUAUUAUGAAGUGGAAAAUACCCUCAAUAUCUUUAUCUUGAAGAGUUUUGAGGGUUUAAGGGCUAAUCAAAGAAAAUCAAAUAUAUAAAUUUUAGAAAAUGAAUAAAAAUACAAAUAAACUAUUAAAUAAUAAUUUAAAUAACGACAUGAGUAGAGAUUUCUCUAAAGCUAGACAAAAUGCUGAUUUAAACCCUAACUAUAUAACAGGGAUCAGCGACGCUGAAGGAAACUUUGCUAUUGUUACAUCAACUAUUGAAAAAAACAAUAAAGUAUAUAAUAAAGUAUAUUUAAGAUUUAGUGUCACUCAAAAAGCACAUUCUGCUGGUAUACUUUAUGAAUUAAUGGAGUAUUUUGGGUGCGGUCAAGUUAUUCCUACUUCAAAAGGAUGUAUGAGAUACGUAGUUCAAAAUAGAGAUGAUAUCAAUAAUAUAAUAAUACCUCAUUUUGAUAGUUUUCCUUUACAAACUUCUAAAAGGCUAAAUUUCUUAACCUUUAAAGAAGGAGCUAAAUUUGUAACCGAGGGCCAACAUUUAACUCCAGAGGGCUUUAACAAACUUAAUGAAUUGAAAGGGCAAAUGAAUGACAAUAGAACUUUUGAUGAAUUAUAUGUGCACUUGGCUUUAAGGGAUAUAGUUUUAAACCCUUAUUGGAUCUUAGGCUUUGUUGACGCUGAAGGUUGUUUUGGUACACUACUUAGUUUAAGUAAAGCCGGAAAAAUUAUUACUAGAAAUAGAUUAUCUAUUCCUCAAUCUUCUCAUGAUUAUAAAAUCCUUUUGGCUAUUAAACAGUUUUUCGGAGCUGGUUAUUUAAGUCCUAAAGAGGAUAAACUUAAUACUUUGGAUAAAGCAAAAGCUUCCCAAGAUGAAACUUAUUAUUAUAACUCAGUUACUGAUAACGUAAUUUCUUUUUUCGAUAGUUAUCACUUACUAACUAGAAAAUAUUUAGAUUACUUAGAUUUUAAACAAUUUUAUCUAUUAAAAAAAGAAAAACAACAUCUCACUCCCGCCGGAUUUAAAAAAAUGGCUAAUAUUUUCAUGAAUAUGAACUCCGGUAGAAAUAAACAAAAAAUAACUAAAUUAAACAUAAACAAAAUAUUAACUAAAUUAAACAAAAAUUUCACUAAAAAAAACAAACAAAAAUAAUAACACAGUCCUUAACCCCCAUCCUCGCUACGAACAAGUACUUGACAACGAAUAAGGCUGUACUUGACCCGUACGGGUUUGUGGUCCGCGGACUACGGGCGCUCCAAUGCGUGGAAAUAAGUAAACCUAAUCGCUAUUGAUAGGAAGAGAAUGCAAAUUAAAAUAAGAUAAUCAAUAACUUCUAAUUAAUCCCAAAUAUGCACUGCUGGGGUCUUUUUAAACCGGAUAAAUUGCUAGAAAAACUGUUAAUAACAGACAACUAGCAGCCAAGCAUGGAUAAGUGUUUUAUUCAAUAGUUUUUAAAACUAAAUAAAAAUCUAUGAAGGUUCAACGACUAAUAGGUGAGUUUCACUUACAAUAAUCCUAACACGAAAAUCCGGCAUUCAAUCGAAAUGAAUGAUGACAUAGUCUGAACAAGUAACGUGAGUUACUGAAGUAGUGAAUAAAUAAUCAUUACGUUAACACAAAGAAGCAGCUUUACUGCAGUUAGUUAUCAUGUUGAUCUACAACAACCUUGGUUAAUAGUGAUUAGGGAAGUCGAUAGACGAAAGGUGGAAUACCUUAUAACGUUAGGUUGGGUCAAUAUUAACCUUAUAAUUUGAGGGAGAGUUGACUAAUGGGCAGUUUGACUGGGGCGGUCGUCUUUGAUAUAGUAGCAAAGUACAUCCAAAGAUUUGAAUAUAAAAUAAUAUCGCUUAUCUCUUUUUUUAUUUAAGAAAAUAGCUCUGCAGCGAAAUCCAAACUUAAAGUUUAUAGAUGAAAUAAGUGUUUUAUUUAUUUCUAUUUAUAUCAUUUUUUAUUAAGAAAGGUAGAGCUAGAAUAUUGUAUGGGGAACAAUCUGCCAGUGAGAAAGGUAGUAAUCGGCGUAAUGGCGGUAAGCUUGCCUAACUGUAAGACCUAGAAGUCGCACAGACACGUAAGUGUGGCAUAGUGACCCUCCGCUAUUUUAUGGAGCAGGCGGAGCUAAUUCGAUAACAUUAAAAUCUUAAAUUUAACUUUUGUCGCUUAAAUUAGAAAUAAUUUAUUGUAAAUUGGGUUAAUUUCAAGAAAAUCUCUUCUUGUACCCGUUCCGUUAUUAAUAUGCUCUUUCGAGCCCUCCCUUAUCCUUUAAAGGAAAUUCAAAAUAAUAACGAACAUAAAGGGUUGGCUUUUCUUUGGCUUUAACAAUAACAGAACAGUAGAGAGAUAACCUGAAGCGAAGCUAGGCAAGACAUAAACAAAUAUUGCCUAGAACGUUCAACGACUAGUGGGUGAGUAUUUGUCAACAAUAAUCCCACCACGAAAGCCCGACAAUUAAUUGGAGCCGGAUCACUUGUAUUUCCAAGUACAAAAGUACAAAAAAACCUUGGAUUAAUAAGUUAAUUACUUAGUUAAAAUCAAGGCAGAUCAUGCUUGUUGUUAUAAGAAGAACGAACGAAAUAACAAUUAAUUGAUGAUAUAGUCUGAACUAGCUGGUGACAGCUAGAAGCUUAUGAUAAAAAAAUAAGUGAUAACAAGAUUUGAAAAGUUACGCUAGGGAUGAACAUUACAUUAGUUGUCCCCCUCUGUCGAAAGAUUGAGUGGACUCAACAAAACAACAACUGGGUGAAUUGCAAAAACUACUUAAUAAGUAAAUUUGCAGCGAAGCUUAUCUUAGCAUCGUAAAAUAACUAUUUUAUAUAGUGAGAUAAGAACGUUCAACGACUAGAAAGUGAGUAAUGCUAAACAAUAAUCUUUCCACGAGCGCCCAGCAUCUAAUUGCAAAGUACGGGAAUGUAGUUAAUAUAAUUAAGAUGAUGACAUAGUCUGAACCACUUUGUGAUAAGUGGAAAAUAGAGGAUUAAAUGGCCUUUACGCUAACAAAUUUGAACAGGUUAAUAGCCGGUGAGAGUACACAUUGUCCCGGCUGUUUGACACCUCGAUAGUCAUCUGUCGAUUUAAAUUAGCAAUAAUUUAUUGUAAAAUAGGGUUAAUUGCAAGAAUCACUUUCCGCUAUACGCUCCUCUGGUCUGGAAGGAAUGAUUGGGAAGUAAACUUGCAGCGAAGCUUACUUUAGCAUUUGUUUAGUAUCUUGUGUACUUGAAAGUAACAAGGAUAAAGUAAGAACGUUCAACGACUAGUAGAUGAGUUGUCAACAAUAAUUCUACCACGAAAGCCCUACAACUAAACUAAUCCCUUGACGCUAUACUUGCGCUCCGCAUCCCCAGCCGUACGGCACUGGACAAAUUAGAUUUAGUUGAUGAAAUAGUCUAAACUGAUUUGUGAAAAUCAGAAACUUGGGAUAAAGAGCCUAAGUGGUAAUAAAUUGGUCGACUUUACUAAUCCUCCAGGGGCAGAAUCUUGGAAGGGUUCGGCUGUUCGCCGAUUCAAAAGUAACAUGAGUCAACUAGGCUCCUUAAUAACAGUAAUGUUACAAAGAGAAAAUAGGGUAAAUUGCAAGGACUUCUUAAAUUUAACUAUCUAAUUUAAGACAAUUUGCAGCGAAGCUUGAUUGGGUAUAUGGGCUUUAUUAAAAUAGCAGAAUCAAGAACGUUCAACGACUAACAAGUGAGUAAUACCAACAAUAAACUUGACACGAAACCCUACGUCCAUAGUUCAGUAGUAAAAUGGAUGAUGACAUAGUCUAAGCAUUGUCGUGAGGCAAUGAAGAUAGGAUUAAAUUAUCUAUCGAUAAUAUACUGUGGGUAAAGAUAGAAACUCAUAUAACUUCAAUUUUGCCGUACGGCCUUAUUCGUGGUGCGGACGCUAUAUCGCGGUCAAGUACGGCCAGCACGGAGCGAAGUUAUAAUUAAGCCCCUUAAUAACUAAAUUAUGCCUACGAAGCUAAUUUUAGUAUCAAUAUUAAGAAAACUGGGAAAAUUGCAAGGACAACUUUCACUUUACAAAAAAUCAUUAAAGGAAAAGUCAAUUUGCAUCGAAGCUUACUUUGACAACAAGCCCGUACGGGAAUAAAGUAAGAACGUUCAACGACUAGAUGGUGAGGAAUGUCACAAUAACCCAUCCACGAAUACCCAGCAUUAAAGCCAAUUUAAUGAUGACAUAGUCUGAACAAUAGUGUGAACUAUUGAAGAAUAGAAUAAAUAGCUAUUCGAUAACAAAUUUGUUAAUACGACGUAAAAUAGCAAAUUAAUAACUGACUUGCGUCGUCAAAGGAAACUAUGUGCUGGAACACCCGUCCUUUUUUGGUAUUCAAUAACAAUAGCGAUAUCAAUAUCAAUAUCAAUAUCAAUAUCAAUAUCAAUAGCAGCUCUACGGUACUAAUUAUCAACUAUAGUGACAAUCCAAUGAGCGGUUCCGGUUUGUAACAGGGUAAAUCAGCAGAAAAUUAACCAUUUAUUUUCUUAGAGACUAAAUGUUUCCAUCUUAAAUAAGAUAAGAUAAGAUAUAGUCCAAUUAGGCUUAGAAAUACUCAGGCCGCAAAUAGUUUGUGCUUCGCCUAAACCCAAAAUGUCCUCCUCGCUACGAUGAACGAAUAAGAAGCGUACGCAGCUAUAGCACACACGGGUCCAGAGCAAGACAUAUUUUGUAGAAUAGUAUUCUAAUUUCACACGGAGUCAGUAUGGAUCCUAUCUUCUGGAGAGAAAAAUAGUAAAAAGGGGCAGACCUUCUAGUACGAAAGGAUCAAUAGGCUGUGUUUCCCUAGUGUACCAAUUGUUUAAAAUAGAAGAAAUUAAGCAUAGUUGGGUAGCCACAAACAUGAUAGAUAAGCGCUGAAUGAAUAUGAAGCAGGAAGCUAUCCCCUAGAUACUAUCAUUAGAUUCCUAUUU